rnacentral:rRNA from 1 species
AUUGCCCUAGUAACGGCGAGUGAAGCGGCAACAGCUCAAAUUUGAAAUCUGGCUUCGGCCCGAGUUGUAAUUUGUAGAGGAUGCUUUUGGUGCGGUGCCUUCUGAGUUCCCUGGAACGGGACGCCAUAGAGGGUGAGAGCCCCGUAUAGUUGGACACCUAGCCUCUGUAAAGCUCCUUCGACGAGUCGAGUAGUUUGGGAAUGCUGCUCAAAAUGGGAGGUAAAUGCCUUCUAAAGCUAAAUACUGGCCAGAGACCGAUAGCGCACAAGUAGAGUGAUCGAAAGAUGAAAAGCACUUUGAAAAGAGGGUUAAACAGCACGUGAAAUUGUUGAAAGGGAAGCGCUUGUGACCAGACUUGCGCCAGGUGGAUCAUCCAGCGUUCUCGCUGGUGCACUCUGCCUGGUUCAGGCCAGCAUCGGUUUUCUCAGUGGGAUAAAGGCUCUGGGAAUGUAGCUCCUCCGGGAGUGUUAUAGCCCGUUGCACAAUACCUCUGAGGGGACCGAGGUUCGCGCUCUGCAAGGAUGCUGGCGUAAUGGUCAUCAGCGGCCCGUCUUGAAACACGGACCAAGGAGUCAAGCAUUAGGGCGAGUGUUUGGGUGCAAAACCCGCACGCGUAAUGAAAGUGAACGUAGGUGAGAGCUUCGGCGCAUCAUCGACCGAUCCUGAUGUAUUCGGAUGGAUUUGAGUAAGAGCCUUACCGCUUGGACCCGAAAGAUGGUGAACUAUGCUUGUAUAGGGUGAAGCCAGAGGAAACUCUGGUGGAGGCUCGCAGCGGUUCUGACGUGCAAAUCGAUCGUCAAAUAUGAGCAUGGGGGCGAAAGACUAAUCGAACUAUCUAGUA